GAUGAACGCUGGCGGCGUGCUUAACACAUGCAAGUCGAACGAUGAAGCCCAGCUUGCUGGGUGGAUUAGUGGCGAACGGGUGAGUAACACGUGAGUAACCUGCCCUUGACUCUGGGAUAAGCCUGGGAAACUGGGUCUAAUUCUGGAUAUGACUUCUCAUCGCAUGGUGGGGGGUGGAAAGAUUUAUUGGUCUUGGAUGGACUCGCGGCCUAUCAGCUUGUUGGUGAGGUAAUGGCUCACCAAGGCGACGACGGGUAGCCGGCCUGAGAGGGUGACCGGCCACACUGGGACUGAGACACGGCCCAGACUCCUACGGGAGGCAGCAGUGGGGAAUAUUGCACAAUGGGCGCAAGCCUGAUGCAGCGACGCCGCGUGAGGGAUGACGGCCUUCGGGUUGUAAACCUCUUUCAGUAGGGAAGAAGCGAGAGUGACGGUACCUGCAGAAGAAGCGCCGGCUAACUACGUG
rnacentral:rRNA from 1 species